rnacentral:rRNA from 1 species
CAUGCAAGUCGUGCGAGAAAGUAUCUUCGGAUAUGAGUAGAGCGGCGGACGGGUGAGUAACGCGUAGGAAUCUACCUAGUAGAAGGGGAUAGCCCGGGGAAACUCGGAUUAAUACCGUAUACCUCCUUUGGGAGAAAGAAGGCCUCUCUUUGAAGCUUUCGCUAUUAGAUGAGCCUGCGUAAGAUUAGCUUGUUGGUGAGGUAAAGGCUCACCAAGGCAACGAUCUUUAGCGGGUCUGAGAGGACGAUCCGCCACAUUGGGACUGAGACACGGCCCAGACUCCUACGGGAGGCAGCAGUGGGGAAUAUUGGACAAUGGGCGCAAGCCUGAUCCAGCCAUACCGCGUGUGUGAAGAAGGCCCUAGGGUUGUAAAGCACUUUAAGUUGGGAAGAAAAGUUAUUGGUUAAUAUCCAAUAACCGUGACAUUACCAUCAGAAUAAGGACCGGCUAAUUCCGUGCCAGCAGCCGCGGUAAUACGGAAGGUCCAAGCGUUAAUCGGAAUUACUGGGCGUAAAGCGCGCGUAGGUGGUUUAUUAAGUUGGAUGUGAAAUCCCCGGGCUCAACCUGGGAACUGCAUCCAAAACUGAUUCACUAGAGUACGAUAGAGGGAGGUAGAAUUCACAGUGUAGCGGUGGAAUGCGUAGAUAUUGUGAAGAAUACCAAUGGCGAAGGCAGCCUCCUGGAUCUGUACUGACACUGAGGUGCGAAAGCGUGGGUAGCGAACAGGAUUAGAUACCCUGGUAGUCCACGCCGUAAACGAUGUCAACUAGCUGUUGGAAAACUAUGUUUUUCAGUGGCGCAGCUAACGUAGUAAGUUGACCGCCUGGGGAGUACGGCCGCAAGGCUAAAACUCAAUGAAUUGACGGGGACCCGCACAAGCGGUGAGCAUGUGUUUAUUCGAUGCAACGCGAAAACCUUACCUAUACUUGACAUACUUGAUGCUUUGUAAUGAAGCAGUGCUUCGGAGCAAGAUACAGUGCUGCAUGCUGUCGUCAGCUCGUGUCUGAAUGUCGUAAGUCGAUACGAGCGCAUCCUUACCCUUAUUGGCAGCGAUCGUCGGAACUAUAGGGACUGCGGUGUA